AACGGGUCUCAGAUGCUCACUUUGCCAAUGUGCAAACCAAACAUGCUUUAAAUCGAGCAAAAGGGAUUGUCAUCACGUUACCAAUAGCUGCUGGAGUCCGGGAUUUGGAUCUGAUUGGUCGCAAACGUAGAUCUGAAUCCCGACUACUCGAGACACUGCUUAACCAGUCCGAAGAAGAUCAGGGAGAUAUCAGAGACGAUCGCAUUGAAACGAACAACUAUCCUGACUUGCUGUUUGAUUACAAGUAAAAUGUAAUCAACUCAACCACUAGAUGAAUUUUGAGGCCCUGGCGAUUUAUCUUCAUUGCAAUUUUCCAUUUAAAAAACCACAUGUUUUAACUACAUUAGAUUAGGAAGUUACGUUGUUGGUUGCUACAUUAUAGACUAUGCGGCCUUUCAGUACCAGAUUUUCUAUUAAACAUCAAUCAAAUCCCUGUUAAGAAAAAAUGAUAUGUAUCGUAAAUCAAUAGUUAUCUGGAACAUACUGAGCGGUAAUUAAUUUAUAGAAUCUUUCAAUCUCAAAAUGUCUAGUUUAGUAUUGUAUGACUGCUUUAGUAAAAUUGUAUUUAUUUUUAGUGUGUAUUAGUUAAAGUUUUAAAAUAUUUUUGCUGUAAUUGGCUCAGUGAAUUUAAUUACAUUUUGUUCGGUAUUAUUCUGUUAAGUGAGCAAAUGAAUACGUAAAAGAAAAGAGACAUUAUAUUAACAUACAACAUAAUACAGAUUCGCACCAAAGCCGAUUUUCCAAGUAUUUAAAGUAGUAAUGCAAAGCAGGUAACAAUAAUGAGUAAAAUAUUUGUAAUUUUCGAUGAAAAAUUAAUGUAGAUACAUUUGCUCACAUUAGCAAAAACGUGAAUAGUUAUUACCGAGGGUUAUUCAUGAAAUAGUUCUAAUUUCAUGAUAGAAAAUUGCUUUUAUGAAAUUAUUAUUUUGCCGCAAGUCCUAUAAUUCGACGCUUUACAUAUAGUCUCUACAAUAAUUUCUGAAGCAUAUAUGUAAAAUAACUUUUAUUCCAUCAAUACAAGCUUGGAGUGGCUUAUAGCACACACAAUUGAUUAUUAAAAAAAACACCUAACAUUAAGUCUGCUAACAUUAAGUGUCCUAACAUUAAGAUGGCCAAGCGUGUUUUUUGAAUAUCCCUCGUUAACUAUUUGGAUGAACUUAUCAGUAUUACCUACGCAUAUGAUUGACAUAAUUCAUGCGACUCUAGUCCUUAUUGUAAGUAAAUUAUUUUAGUAUAGAAUCUUAUCACUUUCUUUAUAACAUGGAUACAAGCAUUAAUUAAC